rnacentral:rRNA from 2 species
CCUACGGGAGGCAUCAGUGGGGCAGCAGUGGCAAUUGUUGAACACCGGACGGAACCAGGCCGGAUCGAGGAAGAAGGCUGGAGGAAGGUUAACCCCUUGUAUCUGGGAUGAAUCUUGGGAGAGCACACUGACGGUACCAGAGGAAUCAGCAUCGGCUAACUCCGUGCCAGCAGCCGCGGUAAGACGGAGGAUGCAAGCGUUAUCCGGAAUGAUUGGGCGUAAAGCGUCCGCAGGUGGCAGUUCAAGUCUGCCGUCAAAGACCGGGGCUUAACCUCGGAAAGGCAGUGGAAACUGAACAGCUAGAGUACGGUAGGGGCAGAGGGAAUUCCCGGUGUAGCGGUGAAAUGCGUAGAGAUCAGGAAGAACAUCGGUGGCGAAGGCGCUCUGCUGGACCACAACUGACACUCAGGGACGAAAGCUAGGGGAGCGAAUGGGAUUAGAUACCCCAGUAGUCCUAGCCGUAAACGAUGGAUACUAGGUGUGUGUCUGUAUCGACCCGGACAGUGCCGUAGCUAACGCGUUAAGUUCCCGCCUGGGAGACACCCAAAUGG